UGACUAUGAAGGUUCAGCACAAGUGAGACUGAUGAGGGGAAGGUGAGAGGAUUCUUCCCUAUUUUUUAAAUUUUUAUUUAUUUAUUUAUUUAUUUUUAAUUUUUUGGUACUAGGGAUUGAACCCAUGGGUGCUAAACCUCUGAGUCACAUCCCCAGCCCUUUUUAAAAAUAUUUUAUUGAGAGACAGGGUCUCACUGAGUUGCUUAGGGCAUUCCUAAGUUGCUGAGCCUGGCUUUGAAGUCAUGAUCCUCCUGCCUUAGCCUCCCAAACUUCUGGGAUUACAGGAAUGCGCCACCACACCCAGCUGUUCUAUAUCUUGAUUGUAGCACUGGUUACACAACUCUAUGCCUUUGUCCUAAUGUAGAGAAUUGGUGUGUAUGGUAUAUUUCUAGGACACUCUUCAUUUGCACUAGCCACAUUUCAAGUGCUCAGUAGUCAUAUGCAGCUGGAAACUGCCCAACAGACACUACAGAUAUAUCAUGAUCUGAGAAAAAAGUAAGGUGUGGCUGGGGCUGUUGCUCAGUGGUGGAGCACUUGCCUCAUGCUGUGAGGCACUGGGUUCAAUCCUCACACCACAUAAAAAUAAAUAAAGCUAUUGUGUCCAUCUACAACUAAAAAAAAAAAGUUAAAAAAGAAAAAAAUAAUGUGUUUCCAGCCUAGAGCAGCCACCAUCAAGUCAACAGAAUGUUUGCACUGAGUAGAACAUACUCCUUAAAAUGAUCAGUCUAAAAGAAUUUUCAAUCAUAAUGAAAAGUUGUCAAGAAUUCACUCAAGGGAGGCAUCUUCUUGCCAAUUGGCAUCAUCUUCAAAGGUGGCCUCGCCCCUUCCCUGUUCUUCUAGAACACUCCCUGAAAAGCCAUUCCCUUUUAUGUUGCCUCUGGCCUCACUUUCUUCUGCUCUCCUCUCUCUCCCUCCCUCCACAUGCCCUGAACACCUCUUCACCCUGGUGAGAGCUUACUUCCCCUUUAUGACCCAGUUGCAGUGGGCUUCCUUUCCCCAGAUCCCCGCGCCCCUGAGGGCAGGAACCAAGGCUCCCUCACCGCACACUGAUAUUUCUUCUACUGUUUAUUAAGUACCUCUGGGUGCGAGGAGAACCUGGGUGAGUAGGAUACAGCCCUGUUUCUAAUCAUCUCGUGGUCUGCUAGGGCCCCCAGACUUACAGGCACUUUCACACCUAUUGCUAAGUGCCAAAGCAGAGUGCUCUGUGGCACAACAGGGGAAGCAGACCUAGCUCUGGGGAAGUCAACUUCCUCUGCAUAACCCCUGAGGUAGGCCCUUCUGCUUUCCUUUUUUAAAAAAAUCUGAAGAAGUGUACACUCGGUUACACCAGCCAAAGGUGGACAGUUUUAUUGAGGGGUACUUAAGUGGAGGAAAGGGAGGUGUCUAUCAUCUAUGAACACAAGAAGAGAGAUCACUCUCACUAGAGAUUUCUCUCCUAGUGAUCACAGAAGUUCUAAUAUAGAACUAUAUUAUAUACUAUAGUCCUGGGGGCUGUGUCCCCAGCAGUCUCGUCCCUUGGUGAAAACUCCCUGGUAGGAUCCUCCAUUGGAAACUCUUUUCUGUGCCACUCCAAAGAGACAAUUCUCCCAAAGUAGCAGUACCAGGGAGCCAGGUCCCUGGUCAGCCUGUUCUGUCACUCCCCAGGGAAGC
rnacentral:lncRNA from 1 species